GAUGAACGCUGACAGAAUGCUUAACACAUGCAAGUCAACUGUGGCGGACGGGUGAGUAACGCGUAAAGAACUUGCCUCACAGAUAGGGACAACAUUUGGAAACGAAUGCUAAUACCUGAUCCUUUGAGAGAGCUUUGCGUCCCAUUAGCUAGUUGGAGAGGUAACGGCUCACCAAGGCGAGGAUGGGUAGCCGGCCUGAGAGGGUGAUCGGCCACAAGGGGAUUGAGAAACGGCCCUUACGCCUACGGGAGGAAGCAGUGGGGAAUAGUGGACAAUGGACCAAAGUCUGAUCAAGCAAUUCUGUGUGCACGAUGAAGUUUUCGGGAUGUAAAGUGCUUUCAGUUGGGAAGCAGUACCAACAGAAGAAGUGACGGCUAAAUACGUGCCAGCAGCCGCGGUAAUUC
rnacentral:rRNA from 1 species